GAUGAACGCUGGCGGCGUGCCUAAUACAUGCAAGUCGAGCGAACAGACGCGGAGCUUGCUCCUCUGACGUUAGCGGCGGACGUGUGAGUAACACGUGCAUCACCUACCUAUAAGACUGGGAUAACUUCGUGAAACCGGAACUAAUACCGGGUACUAUAUUGAACCGCAUGGUUCAAUAGUUACGGACGGUUUUGCUGUCCCUUCUAGCUGUAUCCGCGCCGCAUUAGCUAGUUGGUACGGUAACGGCUUACGAAGGCAACGAUGCGUGGCCGACCUGACAGGGUGAAGGCGGACACUGGAACUGAGACACGGUCCAGAGUCUUACGGGAGGCAGAGGUAGGGACGCGUGCGCAAUGGGCGGAAGCCUGCCGGAGCAACGCCAGGUGGGUGAUGAAGGGCUUCGGAUCGUAAGACUCUGUUCUGAGGGAAAAACGAUUGUGGAAGUAACGAUGCACGUCGUGACGGUACCUAAAGAGGAAGCAACGGCUAACUACGUG
rnacentral:rRNA from 1 species